rnacentral:rRNA from 1 species
UACGUAGGGUGCAAGCGUUGUCCGGAAUUAUUGGGCGUAAAGAGCUCGUAGGCGGUUUGUUGCGUCGGCUGUGAAAUCCCGAGGCUCAACCUCGGGUCUGCAGUCGAUACGAGCAAACUAGAGUGUUGCAGGGGAGACUGGAAUUCCUGGUGUAGCGGUGAAAUGCGCAGAUAUCAGGAGGAACACCGGUGGCGAAGGCGGCAUCCUGGACCGGCAUUGACGCUGAGGAGCGAAAGCCAGGGGAGCAAACGGG